GCGAUGUGAGGUAGUAGGUUGUAUAGUACGGAUACAUAAAUAUUACAUACUACUGUACGAUCUGCUAACUUGUAUUGC
rnacentral:pre_miRNA from 1 species